rnacentral:rRNA from 1 species
AUGAACGCUGGCGGCGUGCCUAAUACCUGCCAGUCGAGCGAACAGACGAGGAGCUUGCUCCUCUGACGUUAGCGGCGGACGGGUGAGUAACACGUGGAUAACCUACCUAUAAGACUGGGAUAACUUCGGGAAACCGGAGCUAAUACCGGAUAAUAUAUUGAACCGCAUGGUUCAAUAGUGAAAGACGGUUUUGCUGUCACUUAUAGAUGGAUCCGCGCCGCAUUAGCUAGUUGGUAAGGUAACGGCUUACCAAGGCGACGAUGCGUAGCCGACCUGAGAGGGUGAUCGGCCACACUGGAACUGAGACACGGUCCAGACUCCUACGGGAGGCAGCAGUAGGGAAUCUUCCGCAAUGGGCGAAAGCCUGACGGAGCAACGCCGCGUGAGGGAUGAAGGUCUUCGGAUCGUAAAACUCUGUUAUUAGGGAAGAACAAAUGUGUAAGUAACUAUGCACGUCUUGACGGUACCUAAUCAGAAAGCCACGGCUAACUACGUG